rnacentral:rRNA from 1 species
CCUACGGGGGGCAGCAGUCGAGAAUCAUUCACAAUGGGGGAAACCCUGAUGGUGCGACGCCGCGUGGGGGAAGAAGGUCUUCGGAUUGUAAACUCCUGUCCGAGGGGACGAUAAUGACGGUACCCUUGGAGGAAGCACCGGCUAACUACGUGCCAGCAGCCGCGGUAAAACGUAGGGUGCAAGCGUUGUCCGGAAUUACUGGGUGUAAAGGGAGCGCAGGCGGACUGUCAAGUUGGGAGUGAAAACUACGGGCUCAACCCGUAACUUGCUUUCAAAACUGGCGGUCUUGAGGGGGGGAUAGGUAG